GUUGAAACACCGAUUACCGUAUGAUCACCGAAGUUAAGCAACGUCGAGCAUGGUCAGUGCCUAGAUGCGUGACCGCUUGGGAAUGCU